rnacentral:rRNA from 1 species
AUAGGGGAGCCGAAGGGAAACCGAGUCUUAACUGGGCGUUAAGUUGCAGGGUAUAGACCCGAAACCCGGUGAUCUAGCCAUGGGCAGGUUGAAGGUUGGGUAACACUAACUGGAGGACCGAACCGACUAAUGUUGAAAAAUUAGCGGAUGACCUGUGGCUGGGGGUGAAAGGCCAAUCAAACCGGGAGAUAGCUGGUUCUCCCCGAAAGCUAUUUAGGUAGCGCCUCGUGAACUCAUCUUCGGGGGUAGAGCACUGUUUCGGCUAGGGGGUCAUCCCGACUUACCAACCCGAUGCAAACUGCGAAUACCGAAGAAUGUUAUCACGGGAGACACACGGCGGGUGCUAACGUCCGUCGUGAAGAGGGAAACAACCCAGACCGCCAGCUAAGGUCCCAAAGUCACAGUUAAGUGGGAAACGAUGUGGGAAGGCUCAGACAGCCAGGAUGUUGGCUUAGAAGCAGCCAUCAUUUAAAGAAAGCGUAAUAGCUCACUGGUCGAGUCGGCCUGCGCGGAAGAUGUAACGGGGCUAAACUGUGCACCGAAGCUGCGGCAGCGACGCUUAUGCGUUGUUGGGUAGGGGAGCGUUCUGUAAGCCUGCGAAGGUGUCCUGUGAGGGAUGCUGGAGGUAUCAGAAGUGCGAAUGCUGACAUAAGUAACGAUAAUGCGGGUGAAAAGCCCGCUCGCCGGAAGACCAAGGGUUCCUGUCCAACGUUAAUCGGGGCAGGGUGAGUCGACCCCUAAGGCGAGGCCGAAAGGCGUAGUCGAUGGGAAACGGGUUAAUAUUCCCGUACUUGGUGUUACUGCGAAGGGGGGACGGAGAAGGCUAUGUUGGCCGGGCGACGGUUGUCCCGGUUUAAGCGUGUAGGCUGGUUUUCCAGGCAAAUCCGGAAAAUCAAGGCUGAGGCGUGAUGACGAGGCACUACGGUGCUGAAGCAACAAAUGCCCUGCUUCCAGGAAAAGCCUCUAAGCAUCAGGUAACAUCAAAUCGUACCCCAAACCGACACAGGUGGUCAGGUAGAGAAUACCAAGGCGCUUGAGAGAACUCGGGUGAAGGAACUAGGCAAAAUGGUGCCGUAACUUCGGGAGAAGGCACGCUGACACGUAGGUGAAGUGAUUUACUCA